rnacentral:rRNA from 1 species
GACGAACGCUGGCGGCGUGCUUAACACAUGCAAGUCGAACGGAAAGGCCCCCUUGUGGGGUACUCGCGUGGCGAACGGGUGAGUAACACGUGAGUAACCUACCCUUGACUUUGGGAUAACUUCAGGAAACUGGGGCUAAUACCGGAUAGGAGCUCCUGCUGCAUGGUGGGGGUUGGAAAGUUUCGGCGGUUGGGGAUGGACUCGCGGCUUAUCAGCUUGUUGGUGGGGUAGUGGCUCACCAAGGCUUUGACGGGUAGCCGGCCUGAGAGGGUGACCGGCCACAUUGGGACUGAGAUACGGCCCAGACUCCUACGGGAGGCAGCAGUGGGGAAUAUUGCACAAUGGGCGGAAGCCUGAUGCAGCAACGCCGCGUGCGGGAUGACGGCCUUCGGGUUGUAAACCGCUUUCGCCUGUGACGAAGCGUGAGUGACGGUAAUGGGUAAAGAAGCACCGGCUAACUACGUG